ACUCCUACGGGAGGCAGCAGUGCGUUAAUAUUGCACAAUGGGCGAAAGCCUGAUGCAGCGACGCCGCGUGAGGGAUGACGGCCUUCGGGUUGUAAACCUCUUUCAGCAGGGACGAAGCGCAAGUGACGGUACCUGCAGAAGAAGCACCGGCUAACUACGUGCCAGCAGCCGCGGUAAUA
rnacentral:rRNA from 1 species